UACGUAGGGGGCAAGCGUUGUCCGGAUUUAUUGGGCGUAAAGAGCGUGUAGGCGGUUAUACAGGUCCGCUGUGAAAACUGGAGGCUUAACCUCCAGACGUCGGUGGAAACCGUAUAACUAGAGUCCGGAAGAGGAGAGUGGAAUUCCUAGUGUAGCGGUGAAAUGCGCAGAUAUCAGGAAGAACACCCGUGGCGAAGGCGGCUCUCUGGGACGGUACUGACGCUGAGACGCGAAAGCGUGGGGAGCGAACAGG
rnacentral:rRNA from 1 species